UUUGGACACUCGUAAACAGGUGGUGCAUGGUUGUCGUCAGCUCGUGUCGUGAGAUGUUGGGUUAAGUCCCGCAACGAGCGCAACCCUCGUCCUAUGUUGCCAGCACGUCAUGGUGGGAACUCAUGGGAGACUGCCGGGGUCAACUCGGAGGAAGGUGGGGAUGACGUCAAAUCAUCAUGCCCCUUAUGUCUUGGGCUUCACGCAUGCUACAAUGGCCGGUACAAAGGGCUGCAAUACCGUAAGGUGGAGCGAAUCCCAAAAAGCCGGUCUCAGUUCGGAUUGAGGUCUGCAACUCGACCUCAUGAAGUUGGAGUCGCUAGUAAUCGUGGAUCAGCAACGCCACGGUGAAUACGUUCCCGGGCCUU
rnacentral:rRNA from 1 species